rnacentral:lncRNA from 1 species
UCCAUGGCUCCAUCCUACCACAUCCAUCCAGGACCUGUCCAACAUCUCCAUCCAUCUCCUGCAACACCUCUGCCUCCAGUGCUGCCCAUUGUCCCUGCCCAAAUCCCCAUCCAACAUCCCCAUCCAGCAUCUCCAUGCAGUACCCUCAAUGCAACGUGUCCCAUUCGAUGUCCCCACGUCCCCCCAUGUCCCCCCAUGCCAGGGCUGUGGCUCUGUCCCUGCUGGGGCCGUGCCCACACCAGGCUGGGCCUGUGGUGCCCCCAAGGCUGCCCAGCCUGUGUCUCCUGCAGCUCGGUGGGAAGGAGGAGGAGGAGGAAGAGGAAGAAGAGCUGACUGAGAGGAGUGAGCAGGACUCUGGGAUCAAUGAGGAGCCGCUGCUGACAGCUGAGCAGGUCAUCGAGGAGCUGGAGGAGCUCAUGCAGAGUUCACCCGACCCCGAGGCUGACCCCGAGGGUGAAGAGGAAGAGGAGGAGGAGGAGGAUGAGGAGGAGGAGGAAGAAACCAAGGCUGAUGCUGAAGGCAAAGGUGGUGGUGGGGGCACGGAGCCCAUCGUGCUGCGGGAGCUGCAUGCUUUCUCCCCUGCCCUCAACAACAACUGCUCCCACGAAGGUACGGCCAGCAAAGCCCAGGCCAGUCACUUUUUGGGGACAAUUCCAACCAAAUUGGACAACUGAGUCUCUCCAGGCCUCAGUGCUGGCUUGCUCUGGGACUUUGCCAGAAGGGCUCUUGGCAAAAACUGUGAAGAACACAGGGAUGUGGCUUCUGGUGUGGAAAGGCACGUGGGGGCCACCAUGAGCCUUUGUGUUCUGCAUGGGGGUUCCAUGCACGUGAGAUUUGUCACUGCUGGCGUGGGCUGUGUCACCAGCAAGCCCAGGCACUUCACUCAUUGCUGUGCUCUUUAUCUCACUGUGCAGGUUACCAAUCACACCAUGCCACUAAUGGCACUGUGCAUGUCACUCAUUGCGCCAUGCAUGUCCAUAAUCACACCAUACAUGUCACCAGUUGCACGAUGCAUGUCAAUGAUUGCACCAUACAUGUCACUAAUUGCACCACACAUGUCACUAAUCACAGCCUGCCUGUCACUAAUUGCACUGUGAGUAUCAAUGAGUGCACCUUGCAUGUCACUAAUGGUGCCAGAAGUCCCUUAAUUGCUCUGGGCACAUCGUUUAUGGCUCUGAGCAUAUCAGUAAUUGCACUCUGGGUUUAUCUCUUGCUGUCUCAGAAAAUGCAGAGCCCAUCUCGCUGAGCAGAGAUGCAUUUUACUGGCUGCAGUGUGUGUUUCACUGACUGCACUGGGGUGUCCCUGACUGCACCAGGCAUUCCCUCCUUUCCCCAUGCAUGGCACUGCCUGCAGCGAGUCCAGAGGAGGCCACGGGGAUGCCCCAAAGGCUGCAGCUCCUCUGCUGGGGUGACAGACUGGGAGAGCUGGGGAAGAGAAGGCUCUGGGGAGAGCUCAGAGCC